UACGUAGGGUGCAAGCGUUGUCCGGAAUUAUUGGGCGUAAAGAGCUCGUAGGCGGUCUGUCGCGUCUGCUGUGAAAACUCGGGGCUUAACCCCGGGCCUGCAGUGGGUACGGGCAGACUAGAGUGCGGUAGGGGAGACUGGAAUUCCUGGUGUAGCGGUGAAAUGCGCAGAUAUCAGGGGGAACACCGGUGGCGAAGGCGGGUCUCUGGGCCGUAACUGACGCUGAGGAGCGAAAGCGUGGGGAGCGAACAGG
rnacentral:rRNA from 1 species